rnacentral:rRNA from 1 species
CAGCCGCCGCGGUAAUACGGAGGGAGCUAGCGUUGUUCGGAAUUACUGGGCGUAAAGCGCACGUAGGCGGCUUUGUAAGUUAGAGGUGAAAGCCUGGAGCUCAACUCCAGAACUGCCUUUAAGACUGCAUCGCUUGAAUCCAGGAGAGGUGAGUGGAAUUCCGAGUGUAGAGGUGAAAUUCGUAGAUAUUCGGAGGAACACCAGUGGCGAAGGCGGCUCACUGGACUGGUAUUGACGCUGAGGUGCGAAAGCGUGGGGAGCAAACAGGAUUAGAUACCCGCGAGUCCCUGUCUCUUAUACC